CUUUUUCUCCUGAGAACAGUGCCAGCAGCUGGCUUCGUGACAUUCUGGAAGCCCCGUGCAAUGCUGUCAGGAGCAUAGGGAUUUUACUUUAUCUCCCUUGCUUAUGCUCCACAUAACUGAAAUAUCUCACUGGAAGCUGCAGCAGUGCUGGCCCCUUGCACAGCCAUAUGUGACCACUGCAGAACAAUCAGUUGGAGAGACAGUUUGGACUACAUGGAGGGUGGAGAUAAGGACAAAGUGAAGAAUACACAGGAACCAGUGCCUCCUCCUGGAACUAUGCAACUCCAAGCUGCUUCCAUCAGCUGCUAGGUCCAGUAGGGAGGGACCUACUGAGAGGUGAUUGGAUUAUGGGGGCGGUUUCCCCCAUGCUGUUCUCAUGAUCGUGAGUGAGUUCUCAUUUGAUCUGAUGGUUUCACGAAAGGCUCUUUCUCCUUUGCUUUCUCUUCUCUCUCCUGCUGCUAUGUGAAGAAGGUGCCUGCUUCCCUUUCCGCUGUGAUUGUAAGUUUCCUGAGGCCUCCUCAGCCAUGUGGAACUGUGAGUCAAUGAAACCUGUUUCCUUUAUAAAUUACUCAGUCUCUGGUAUUCCUUUAUAGCAGUGUGAAAAUGGACUAAUAUACUUGCCCUUCAUCCCAACGAUGGAUUUAAGACUAGAGACAUUUCAAAUAGUAGGUUUUUUGCCAAAUGCCUUUCGCUGUAGAAAUUCUAUACAUGGCCUUUGUCUGUUACACUGGAAGUCCUGCCACUUCUUAGAUGGUGGAGAUUAAAACAGCGAUUUCUUGUGGUGGUGGCGGGGCUGGGGUUGGGAACAUUGAGGAUAAGGUGGGAGCUGCCCAUCUCAGACACUACUGAGAUAGUGGGAUGGGCCACAUAAAUGUCUAUGGAAGAGAUGCCUUUGCCAUACAAUUCCUUCAACAAAUACUCAUUGAUCACACACCAUAUCUGGGGGUGUAGCUGAGAACAAAACAAAGCUCCUGUUUUGAGGAGCUUUAGGCUGUAGAGAAAACAGAAAAUAAACAAGCAAGCAAAUGGAUGUUUUUAAGUGGCAAAAGUGCUAUAAAGGAAACAAGUAGUGGGAUGAGAUGAGGGGAGGAGAACUUCAGGUAAGGUGGCAUCAGAGCAGGAAGCUGAACUGAGGGUGAGUGAGCUGAGCUCAACAGAAAGGACUGUUGGACUGAGCCAGCCACAUGGAGAUCUGGAGAAGGGAAGAGGGCACUACCAUUUUGUUUUUGUUUUUUAUUGGAUUUAAGACGUCACUAUUGUACCUCUAAAAGAAAAAAAAAAACUGUAAUUAUAAUUGUAAAUUACAAAAUUGAUUGUAAAACACAUUUUGAUAACAAUGAAUUAAAAUAUGUUAAAUUACAUGCCUUAGCAUCAAUAUAUUAGUUCAAAAGCCCAGAAGUGUUAAACAAGCUUAGUGCUUAUCUAAGCAACUGAAAAGAAUCUGAUAUGUUUAUAGUUGGUGAAUGACAGAGAAAAAGAUAUGAGGUUUCAGGGGGGCAAAAGGAUAAAUCUUGAGGUCUUAGUUUAAUUAAAAACGGGUGAUGAUACCAUUUACUGAGAUAGGAGAGAUUUCAGGUUGCCAAGAUGUCAAUUUCAGACAUAUUUUAUAUAUGUUAAGUGACAAUUAAGAGAAGGAGGGUUAAAAGGAGACUUAAGAUUCAGUGAAAACUCAAGGUUUAUGAAGACUUUUGCUCCAUAUCCAUCAGGAAACCAGAAAUCCCUGAAAUUAAUAGCUGAAUAAAUAGAAUAAGGUCAACAUUAUUUUUAACACAUAUUUUUAUGUCAUAUGCAUACUAUGUCACCAUAAUCAGUAAACUGUUAAAGUGCCAGAAAAUGCUUCUACAUCAUUUUCAUUCUGACAGGAAGUAGAUAGAAAUGGCAUGUAUCUACGAAGCCAAGUUCUUUCAAAAUUUACAGCUUAAUUUCUCCAAUUGUUUAGAGUGAUAAAUUUUUCACUGAGGCCAUUGACCAGCACAAUAAUUGUGUCUACACAGCAUGUUUAUAUCAAAUACCAUUGCAUCUGUUAUGUCCUGUUCAUGCUGUGACCUUCCCAGAAGGCAGUUAGGGAUUGAAACUAGUACGCACAAUAGUGUAGAUCAGAAAACUGAUGUCAGGCUCUAGUGACAUGUGUAGGUACUGGCAGAACUGGAAUUAGAACCAGAUUUCUACAGUUGCACCCCUGGUUCUUUGCUCCAAAUGCUAAAGCCCUUGGUUAUUUGAUUUUCCUGUUGUCUUUAUCCUAUCCCCAGGCUCUAUUUGGGUUUCUGUAGUGAAAUUAAGGAUAACCUCAUCUGCAUGCUGUACUUUCUUAAAUAGAUUUUUCUAAUCUCCCAUACUCCCACAACCAUAAAUGACAAAAUACAAGCAUGCUUAGGAUCAUUGUGCCCCACAAUAAAAAAAGCUGUUGCUAUGUUUUGGAAACAGAUCAAUCUUGGUAUUUAAGUGUUGUUUGAACAAAGAUUAACUGAGCCUGUUCUCCUCCCCCAGGUACUCAGACCCAGAACAUACUGUUUUCACUCCAAGAGUCUGAAUGUCUCUUUUCUGAGAAAGAUGAAGAAAAAGUACUUUUUUCAUGAAUUUAAUACUCAUUAAAGUCAAUAGUCGGAAAGCCUGGCUAAUUAGCAGACUUCUUCAGAGGACUUUAAAUAAUAUAGUUACUGUAUUUUUAUUAUAUUGAAAUCUCCAAAUAUAUAAAGUUAGAAUCUUCAAGGUGGGAGGAAGAGGAGAAAUUGGAUUUCUCUAAGCUCCCUAGUGAUUCUGAUGAUGACUCAUUUGGGGAAGUGCAGCAUUGAAUGGCCCUUCUAAAAUGAGGACAGCUAUUUUUUGGACUAAGCACCCCUCCCGACUCUCCCCAUUCCUCAUCCUCUCAGAGACUUCUCUCUCUCAGAUUGCCCCAUCUGUCUCAUGUAUUAUAAUCACUUCCCCUCUACUGGUUUCUUCUCAUACGUUUAACUUGUUCAAGUGCCUUCCAUCUUUAAAAACAGUCAAGGCACAGCCCUUGAUUUAACCAUAGGAAGCCCGCUCCCCACCACCCUGCCAUCAGCUCUCUUCUUCCUGUGUAGUGAGCACUGCUUCUUUGAGCUUCUGAAAGCUGUAGUCACUGCCUCUUGCUGGUAACUGAAAGCACAUUUCUAAGUUCGCAUAUUCCCUGACUUCUUGACAGCACUCAUGACUCGCCAUCUCCUUUUCUGGAACACUGUUUGCUUGGCUUUCACAAUAUCAUGCUUUUCUAGUUCUUUUUCCUGUUUUGGACACUGCUUUACAGAGAAUUAACAUUCCUCUUUUUCCCGCUGACCCUGAAUCAAGAAAGAAUCAUGUUUCUUUCUUUAUUUUUUAUAUCUUAACUUUUGAGGGGUAGAUUUUCAAGCAUACAUAAAAGUGAAGAGAACAGGAUAAUGAACUAGGUGUACACAUGACUGCAUCUUAUCAGUGCAAUACACACUCAUAUUACUUUUUCUAUACUUCAUCCAUUUUCUCCCUGCUCCCUGACUUGGAUCAAAUCCCAGACAUUACAUUAUUUAACCUGCAAAUAUUUCAUCAUAUAUAUGUGGGAAUAUAUAGAUCUCUAUCACUAUAUAUAGUGAGAAUUUCUUUCAAAGAAAAGAUAAUCACAAUAUUAUAAUCUCAUCAAAUGUAGUUGUUAUAAUUCCUUAAUGUCAGUCUAAUAACAAUCCUGUUUUCACAAUUUCUUCUCUUGUAGAUUUUUAAAAAUUAAUUUUGUUGAAUUGAAAUCUAAAUAAGAUACAGAGAUAAAGAUUCAUUGACAUGUCCCUUAAGUAUUUUAGUUUAUAGGCUGUCCUACUAUAUUCCCUGCCUCUUCUUGCAUUUUAUCUUGAUUCAGUUGAAAACUCUGGGUCAUUUGUCUUAUAAAGUUCAUGGGGUCUGCAAUUUGGUGAAGGUGUCCUUUUGGCAUUAUUUAACAUGCGUCUCUGUUCCUUGUAUUUUCUAGAAAUUAUUGGUUAUAUCUAGAGGUUUGAUCAGAUUUAGGUGAAAUUAUAAAAAGAUUCCGUCAUAGGUGAUUUUGUGAAGUUCCAUCAGAAGGUACCCAUCUGGUUUUCUCUCCUUUUGUGAUGCUAGCAGCCACUGAAUAUGGUAAUCUACUCCAAUCAUUAACUAAAUUUCUUUUCUGGAAUUAUUCCAAAAGAGAAACUUUUUUCAUCAUGCAUUUGGUUGUCCUGAGGUAUGAUUGUAUAGGAAAAACAGGAUAACCUACUGAUACUUUCUGUUUAAACUAGUAUUCAAAAUAAUAAAAGUAGUCCCCUAGUAUUAUCUAAAGAUUUCAAAAGACUUUUAAAAAAAUUAUUGAUGAUUUUAUGAGCUCAGGGAUUAAACAUAGUCAAUCUGUUUCAAUCCCUUGCAGUUAUUCCAAUUAAUAAUCAAAUUUUCCUGCCUUUGGCUUGCGGCAGCGUAUUCAUGUUGAAUUCUGGGUCACUUUGACAUGACUCCAGUUGUCUUUGAUGGUAUCCUUUUUGUGACAAAAUGUCCCAGGAUUAUAAUUUCCUGUCCCAUACUGGGAAACAGCCAGUUCUCCAAAGAGCUCUGGAACCAUUCAGUGAGAAAUGUAUUUAGAUGCAACAUUCUGGGUGCUAAGCAUGCCCAUUAACCUGAUCAAUCUCACGUCUUUCCUUUCUUUCAGCAUUGCCAGAAAACUCAUUUCUCAGUGACACCAUUGUAAUUACUCAUUUGAUUAUCCCGCAAUACACAUAUAAGAGUCUCAGGAAAACAGUACCAUCAGCAUUAUAUGAGCUAAUUAAAAAUGUGGUGUCCUGGACUCACGAAGCCAGAAUUGCUGAGGAGAUAGCCCGAGAAUCUGAAUUUUUAGCAGACAUUUUUUUAGGUACCUUACCCGCAGGAUCAUUUCUGUGAAUAUCCAUGAGGUGAAAAAGUCUGGGAAACACUGUCCUAGGUAACUUUUUAAAAAAAUUUAUUUCAUUUUAAUUUUUUUUUUUUAGAAAUGGAAUCUCGCUCUGUCACCCAGGCUGGAGUGCACUGACACGAUCACAGCACACUGCAGCCUCAAACUCCUGGGCCUCAAGCAAUCCUUCUGUCUCAGCCUCUUGAGUUGCUGGGACUACAGGCAUGAGCCACUGUGCCAGGCUCUAGGCAACUGCUAUGCACAGUGAAAUUUGAGGACCACUGCCUUAAAUAUUGGUGUCCUUGGGUUCUUCUGUCUGGGCUAGAUUCCUUACUCACUAUUCUGCAACCCCAGCUGGGACAAUUCCAUCACUCCAUAGCUUCAUUUCCCAUAACCACAGAUUUGCUGGGUCUCAUACCUGGAAUCUACAGCCAUGCCCCUCAUUGUCUUUUGGCCAUCAACUUUUAAAUGUGUCCCAAAGGCUCCAAACCAAUAUGCAUCAGCCCCAAGGUGGAAGACAAAUCUCCAUGUGUCCUAAAUCAACUCACCUGGACUGUAUCCCACCUUUCUGCAGUCUAGCAAAUCAUUUUAAUUAUAAAUGAAACAUUUCACCCCCACAAGACUAUAUUGUUAUUAAUGGCAAGAACUUUAUCUUCUUCAGUGUAAAUAUUUCUCAGUAGUGUUAUAUUACAUUUUACAUGAAGGAUACUCAACAGACAAUAACGUCCACCUGAACUCAUUUCUGAGCUAGCAGCAGAAUUGGAAAGGAGUUUAAAUUCACCCCUGCUGCUUAGUAGCUAAGUGACUUUAAACAAGUUAUUCUACUAGUCUGAUAAUUAGGGUUUUCACCUGAAAACUGAGGGAAGCCAAUUCAUUUCAUAGGGCUGAUGAGGAAAAGCUUAAAAAACACCUGGAAAAAACCGCUAGGCUAUGGUAGGUGCUCAACAAUUAUCAAUGUCUUCCCCUGACAUUUAUCUUAUGAGGGAGGCAUUGGCCGCCAGUCACAGAUGACAAAGUGAAGACUCAAACAGGCAACAAAAGAGGUUCUCAGUGUUAUUUGGGGGUGGCACCCACCUUAUAGGGUUCACGUGAGGAUUUAAUUAGAUAACUCACGUACAUUAUCUAAGCUGAGCCUAGCUUGUAGUAUGUAUCCCCUUAAAUGUAAGCUUCCUAAGAACAAGAAUUUUGUCUCUUCUCUUCAUUACUGGGUCCCAAGCACCUAAAAUUGUGUAUGCUGCAUUGUAGGAACUCAAUACAUAUUUGUUGAUAACACGAAUACUAAUUCCCAAUCCCCAUUUUCAAUAUUUCAUUCAUUGUGAACCUAACAUUGAGACACUUCUGCUCACCAUGUAUCCUGCCUGUGUUGGUGUAUAUUCAGCUCACCUUUGCUGGACACAAGAAAUAAGGAGAAAGGGCUCCUGUUUAGUGGCUUGACAAAUCAGCUAAUAGAAAAAUAUUAAAAUCCACCUGGGCAAAACAAAAAAGAAAGACAUAGUGUGAGAUGUAGCCAAUCCCUGUGGGAGAAGGGGUUAAGAGAGAAUAUUGGAGUUGAACAGCACGACUCAAGGGAGCAGCUUUGAAACAAUGAAAGAAUCUAGAAAUGAUUAUGAUGUGGGUACAUAGCAGGUGGUGGGGUAGAAAGGAGGCUGGGGGAAGAGAAAAUUAGAAACAGCAGGGACAGGGCUGGCACUAGCACAGACAGUGAGGUGAAAGCUGGCACUGGAAUAGGAUUAGGCUAUUAGAACAGCAGCUGAUUGCAGUCAGGACAAAUGGGCACUGAGCUGGUGCCAAUAAUGGCAGAAAAUAAAGAAGAAAGCAAAUAGAACCUGAAGUGGCAGUAAAUUUAAAAUUAGACAGAUGAACAUGUAGUCUAAGACCCAUUUAUUAAUCCCUGCAUUCACUCUUCCGUAGUAAUAUAUACAGUCUUUACAGGGCAGGUUUCUUUCCCCUCCAAUAACAUGCUUGUAUUUCCCCCAAAUACCUUGAAGGAAUAAACAAAAGAAUAUAAAUUAUGGCUUUUUUGAGCACUAAGCAAUUUCUAAAGGAGUGCAAGGAUCCCCUAAUCAAGUAGCUGUGUAUCAAUAAUAGGAGUUUUUAAAGGAGCAGAUCUGUUGUGUGGGAUAAGUCAGAGAUUAGUGUGCCAGUGCUCCAGAGAAAUGAGAGGAAGGUAGAAGAAGGUCUGCAGUAAGUAGAUUUCAGUUUGUGCGUAAUCAAUGAGAACCUGCAACCUGGUAGAGAAGUUUAACAUGCACUCUCAACCUUUGAAAUGUUAAAAAAUAGGAUUGCUGUCAGAAAGUAAGACUCGUCUUACAAGAUAAGUUUUUAUCUCUAUCUUUAUUCAGACAGGAAACGCCACGAAGUGUCUGGAUCAAAGAACAGACUAUUGCUCACAGAGCACCUUCAUAGCAUUGUUCCUCAUGCCCCCGUUGCCCAAGGGGAUGGCAGGUUGAGGACCAGAUGUACUUGCAUGUUCAGGGGAUGCAGCACAGAAGAGGAACUCCAAAAUUAUUAUUAUUAUUGUUAUUAUUAUUAUUUUUGAGAUGGAGUCUCGCUCUGUCGCCCAGCCUGGAGUGCAGUGGCGUGAUCUCGGCUCACUGCAAGCUCCGCCUCCCGGGUUCACGCCAUUCUCCUGCCUCAGCCUCCCGAGUAGCUGGGACUACAGGCACGCACCGCCACGCCCUGUUAAUUUUUUUUGUAUUUUUUUUUAGUAGAGACAGGGUUUCACCGUGUUAGCCAGGAUGGUCUUGAUCUCCUGACCUCGUGAUCCACCCGCCUCGGCCUCCCAAAGUGCUGGGAUUACAGGCGUGAGCCACCGCGCCCGGCCGAACUCCAAAAUUAUUAAACUCUGAGCGUCUGCAGGUGACUGACACAUCUGCGCUUCCUUUCUUCCAGGGUGUGGGGAAGAGCGAGAAAAAGAUUUCCGCUCUGGAAGGUAAACAAAUACUCUCUGGAGAGAGAAGAGGAAUGUCCCUAGCAGAUGUCUCCAGAGAAGACAAGACUUUAAAUUCCGCCAGGGAAAUAUACAAUGUCUAACUUCUAAGGCACAUUUGCCAUUCAAUCAUGCUUUAACCCACGUUGCCAGAAAUUUUUGCUCACUAGGUUUUGACUGUACAGGAAUGUGAAAAUAUUCAUGAAGAGUUGUUUUCCAAUGCUAAAGAAUUGAUGUGUUUUAACAGUUGAAUUAAUUGUAUUGAUUAUGAUCACACCUACUUUUUAUAUAUCUUCAUUUCUAACGUUUCUGUACAAUCCUGCCUUUCCACCUGAUAUAGUUAGGCCUUGUGUCAUCAACCAAAUCUCAUCUUGAAUUGUAAUCGCCAUAAUCCCCACGUAUUUAGGGAGAGACCUGGAGGGAGGUGUUUGGAUCAUGGGGGCGGUUUCCCGCAUGCUGUUCUCAUGACCAUGAGAGUAAGUUCUCAAGAGAUCUGAUGGUUUUAUAAGCGUCUGUCAUUUCCACUGCUUGCACUUCUGUGUCCUGCCACCUUGUGAAGAAGGACGUGGUUGCUUCCCCUUCCACCAUGAUUGUGUUUCCUGAGGCCUCCCCAGCCUUGCAGAGCUGUGAGUCAAUUAAACCUCUUUCCUUUAUAAAUUACUCAGUCUCUGUAUUCCUCUGCAGCAGUGUGAGAACAGACUAAUACAUCACCACUUUAUUUACUUUACUCUCUCCCCAUACCGAGGUUUUCUACAUUUUCUUUCUAGGUCUCUACAGUUUCUGCAAAGAUCCUUUAUGGAACUCUUAGGGAAGCUGGGAUGUAUAAUAAAUAAAGGGCUCUUUUCUUUGAGUCCCACACCCAUUUUCUGUGUAUAAAAAUCUUCAACUCCACUUUUGUCUGUUCUAUUUAAAUGUGUGCACAUUUCCUUCUAAUGUUGUAUAUGAAAAAGAGACACCUCUUAGCAGUCUUUCAUAGAGCAAAAUUUUUUACUUUGAUAAAAUCUAAUUUAUCAAUAUUUUUAAAUUUUAUGGAUCAAUCAUGCUUUUGAGGUUGAAUUUAAGAAUGCUUUGCCUAGCCCUAGAUCCCAAGUAUCUUUUAAAAAUUAUUUUUCUAAAUGCAUUAUUUAUGUUUUACACUUAAGUCUAUAAUCCAUUUUGAGUCCAUGUGUAAGAUUUAGGUUAAGGUCAAGAUUUAUCUGUUUUUGUUGUUUUCUCUAUAAAUGUCAAUUGCUCCAGCACUAUUUGUUUAAAAGCCAAUCUUUCCUCCGCUGAGUUCUUCCUAUAAGUUUGUCAAAAGUCAAUUUGGCAUCUUUGUAUAAGUUUAUUUCUGGAUUCUCUAUUCUGUUUUAUUGAUCACUGCAUCUAUCCCUCUUGAUUAGCUAGAUAAUAAAUCCUACAAUAAGGUAGAAUUCUUCCCACUUUAUUCAUAUUCAAAAUAUUUUAAAGCUAUUCUAGUUUCUUUUUAUUUCCAUAUAUAUUUUAGGAUAAUCUUAUCUAUAUUUACAACAUAUGUUGCUAGGAUUUUGAUAGAAUUUGUUUUAAAUUUGUGUAUCAAUGUAGGGAAGACCUGACAUCUUUACUAUUACGUUGAUCUUCCAAUCAAUGAAUAUGGUAUAUCUCUCAGUUUAUAGCUAUUGUCUUUAAUUUAUUUCAUCAUGGUUUUUAGUUUUCAGCAGAGAAGCUUUAUACAUGUUUUGUUAUACAUGUAUAACAAAAGAAGCCUUAUACACUGACAUUUUAUAUUUUGAACAAUUGUAAAUGGUAUUGUUUAAAAAUUUUGUUGUCUAUGAUAGAAAUAAAAUUGAUUUUUGUAGGUUUAUCUUGUAACCUAUGACUUGCUGAGCUCGCUCAUUAGUUUUUUUAUUGUGAUAAAAUAUACAUGAGAUAAAUUUCAUCAUUAUAAUCAUUAAGUUUAGACAUCAAUUGCAUUAAGUACAUAAAUGCCUUAUGCAACCAUCAUCUCUAUCCAUCUCCAGACCCUUUGCAUCACCCUAAAAUGAAACUCUGUGCCCAUUAAACAAUAACUCCCCAUUCUGCCCUCACCCCAGCCCUUGGUAAUUACCAUCCUACCUUUUAUCUCUAUAAAUUUAACCAUCCCAGGUAACUCAUAUAAGUGGAAUCAUGCAGUGUUUGUCCUUUUGUAACUGGUUUAUUUCACUUAGCAUGAUGUCUUCAAGGUUUGCCUAUGUCAUAGCAUGUGUCAGAAUUUCAUCCCUUUUUAAACUUAAAUAAUAUUCCACUGUAGGCAUAUGCCACAUUUUGUUUAUUUGUUCAUCUGUUGAUGGGCAUUUGGGUUGUUUCCACCUUUUGGCUACUGUGAAUAAUGCUGCUGUGAUCAUGGGUAUGCAACUGUCUCCUGGAGUCCCUGCUAUCAAUUCUUGUGGGUAUAUACCCAGAAGUGGAAUUGUUGCAACAUAUAGUAAUUCUAUGUUUAAUUUUUUGAGGACCUGCCAUAAUGUUUUCCACAGUAGCUACAUUGUCUUAUAUUCCCAUUAAGAGUUCCAAUUUCCUCACAUCUUCACCAAUACUUAUUGUUUUCUGUUUUUUUAAAUAAUAGCCAUCAUAAUAAAAGUAACAUGGUAUCUCA